AAAAACUGUCAUGCUCUUUAUUUAAUCAAAAUAAACAUUAACAUUUUUGUUUGCAAAAUUCGCAGCGGAUAGAAAUCAACCAACCAAUCAAAACAUAUAAUGGUUUACAGGUAAAAAGGUUCAACAAUCAACAGUAAACAAUUAAAACAUCCCGUCCCGAUGUUACAUCUAUCAGAGCACGACCCACUACGUAGACUACACUAGACUCCAGGCACUAGCUUCUAC
rnacentral:lncRNA from 1 species